GGGCGUUUGGCACAGUGGUAGCGCGCCUGCUUUGCAUGCAUGAGGUCGAGGGUUCAAACCCCUCAACGUCCA
rnacentral:tRNA from 1 species